ensembl:lncRNA
UUGGGGAGCCCUGAAUUUUGGGGGGAUUUUUGGGUGGAUUUUUAGGGGUUUUUGGGGUAUUUCUGGCUGGUUCCUGAGUGGGUUUUUUUGCUAUUUUUGGGAUAUUUCUGGGUGGAUUUUUUGCUAUUUUUGGGGUAUUUCUGGAUGGAUUUUUUGCUAUUUUUGGGAUAUUUCUGGCUGGAUUUUUUGCUAUUUUUGGGAUAUUUCUGGAUGGAUUUUUUGGGAUUUUUGGGAUAUUUCUGGGUGGAUUUUUUUGCUAUUUCUGGGCUAUUUCUGGGAUAUUUCUGGGUGGAUUUUUUGCUAUGUUUGGGGUAUUUCUGGGUGGAUUUUUUGGGUUUUUCUGGGUGGAUUUUUGCUAUUUUUGGGAUAUUUCUGGGUGGAUUUUUUUGCUAUUUUUGGGAUAUUUCUGGAUGGAUUUUUUGGGAUUUUUGAGAUAUCUCUGGAUGGAUUUUUUUGCUAUUUUUGAGAUAUCUCUGGGUGGAUUUUUUUGCUAUUUCUGGGAUACUUCUGGGAUAUUUCUAGGAUAUUUCUGGGUGGAUUUUUUUGCUAUUUUUGGGAUAUUUCUGGGAUAUUUCUGGGCUAUUUCUGGGUGGAUUUUUUUGCUGUUUCUGGGUGGAUUUUUUGGGUUUUUCUGGGUGGAUUUUUUUGCUAUUUCUGGGUGGAUUUUUUGGGUUUUUCUGGGUGGAUUUUUUUGCUAUUUCUGGGAUAUUGCUGGGCUAUUUCUGGGUGGAUUUUUUUGCUAUUUCUGGGCUAUUUCUGGGUGGAUUUUUUUGC